rnacentral:rRNA from 1 species
UCCUUUAUUGUACUAUUUGCCGCUGCAUUUACUUCCACUGUGUUUCUUAACCAGUUUCUAUGCAUGCUACAACGCUAUAUUAGACUUUUGGACACGAAUUUUCACCAUAUUAUGACAGUGUGUGUGUUUUGACUGUUUCGUUUUGAAUCCAUCACCCACCUCUCAUAUAAUCUAUCGUCUAUUCGCCAUCCUUUAUUGUACUAUUUGCCGCUGCAUUUACUUCCACUGUGUUUCUUAACCAGUUUCUAUGCAUGCUACAACGCUAUAUUAGACUUUUGGACACGAAUUUUCACCAUAUUAUGACAGUGUGUGUGUUUUGACUGUUUCGUUUUGAAUCCAUCACCCACCUCUCAUAUAAUCUAUCGUCUAUUCGCCAUCCUUUAUUGUACUAUUUGCCGCUGCAUUUACUUCCACUGUGUUUCUUAACCAGUUUCUAUGCAUGCUACAACGCUAUAUUAGACUUUUGGACACGAAUUUUCACCAUAUUAUGACAGUGUGUGUGUUUUGACUGUAUCGUUUUGAAUCCAUCACCCACCUCUCAUAUAAUCUAUCGUCUAUUCGCCAUCCUUUAUUGUACUAUUUGCCGCUGCAUUUACUUCCACUGUGUUUUUUAACCAGUUUCUAUGCAUGCUACAACGCUAUAUUAGACUUUUGGACACGAAUUUUCACCAUAUUAUGACAGUGUGUGUGUUUUGACUGUUUCGUUUUGAAUCCAUCACCCACCUCUCAUAUAAUCUAUCGUCUAUUCGCCAUCCUUUAUUGUACUAUUUGCCGCUGCAUUUACUUCCACUGUGUUUCUUAACCAGUUUCUAUGCAUGCUACAACGCUAUAUUAGACUUUUGGACACGAAUUUUCACCAUAUUAUGACAGUGUGUGUGUUUUGACUGUUUCGUUUUGAAUCCAUCACCCACCUCUCAUAUAAUCUAUCGUCUAUUCGCCAUCUUUUAUUGUACUAUUUGCCGCUGCAUUUACUUCCACUGUGUUUCUUAACCAGUUUCUAUGCAUGCUACAACGCUAUAUUAGACUUUUGGACACGAAUUUUCACCAUAUUAUGACAGUGUGUGUGUUUUGACUGUUUCGUGUUUGAAUCCAUCACCCACCUCUCAUAUAAUCUAUCGUCUUUUCGCCAUCCUUUAUUGUACUAUUUGCCGCUGCAUUUACUUCCACUGUGUUUCUUAACCAGUUUCUAUGCAUGCUACAACGCUAUAUUAGACUUUAGGACACGAAUUUUCACCAUAUUAUGACAGUGUGUGUGUUUUGACUGUUUCGUUUUGAAUCCAUCACCCACCUCUCAUAUAAUCUAUCGUCUAUUCGCCAUCUUUUAUUGUACUAUUUGCCGCUGCAUUUACUUCCACUGUGUUUCUUAACCAGUUUCUAUGCAUGCUACAACGCUAUAUUAGACUUUUGGACACGAAUUUUCACCAUAUUAUGACAGUGUGUGUGUUUUGACUGUAUCGUUUUGAAUCCAUCACCCACCUCAUAUAAUCUAUCGUCUAUUCGCCAUCUUUUAUUGUACUAUUUGCCUCUGCAUUUACUUCCACUGUGUUUCUUAACCAGUUUCUAUGCAUGCUACAACGCUAUAUUAGACUUUUGGACACGAAUUUUCACCAUAUUAUGACAGUGUGUGUGUUUUGACUGUUUCGUUCUGAAUCCAUCACCCACCUCUCAUAUAAUCUAUCGUCUAUUCGCCAUCUUUUAUUGUACUAUUUGCCGCUGCAUUUACUUCCACUGUGUUUCUUAACCAGUUUCUAUGCAUGCUACAACGCUAUAUUAGACUUUUGGACACGAAUUUUCACCAUAUUAUGACAGUGUGUGUGUUUUGACUGUUUCGUUUUGAAUCCAUCACCCACCUCUCAUAUAAUCUAUCGUCUAUUCGCCAUCCUUUAUUGUACUAUUUGCCGCUGCUUUUACUUCCACUGUGUUUCUUAACCAGUUUCUAUGCAUGCUACAACGCUAUAUUAGACUUUUGGACACGAAUUUUCACCAUAUUAUGACAGUGUGUGUGUUUUGACUGUUUCGUUUUGAAUCCAUCACCCACCUCUCAUAUAAUCUAUCGUCUAUUCGCCAUCUUUUAUUGUACUAUUUGCCGCUGCAUUUACUUCCACUGUGUUUCUUAACCAGUUUCUAUGCAUGCUACAACGCUAUAUUAGACUUUUGGACACGAAUUUUCACCAUAUUAUGACAGUGUGUGUGUUUUGACUGUUUCGUUUUGAAUCCAUCACCCACCUCUCAUAUAAUCUAUCGUCUAUUCGCCAUCCUUUAUUGUACUAUUUGCCGCUGCUUUUACUUCCACUGUGUUUCUGAACCAGUUUCUAUGCAUGCUACAACGCUAUAUUAGACUUUUGGACACGAAUUUUCACCAUAUUAUGACAGUGUGUGUGUUUUGACUGUUUCGUUUUGAAUCCAUCACCCACCUCUCAUAUAAUCUAUCGUCUAUUCGCCAUCUUUUAUUGUACUAUUUGCCGCUGCAUUUACUUCCACUGUGUUUCUGAACCAGUUU